rfam:Schistosoma mansoni, Puerto Rico, WGS project CABG01000000 data, contig: 0044
GUCCUGCUGACGAGUCCGAAAUAGGAAGAAACGCGAAUCCUGGAC